ensembl:lncRNA
GUCUGUGUGAAGUUUGCAUGUUCUCCUGCACCUGAGUGGGCUCUCUGUGGGCACUCUAACUUCCUCCCACAGGCAUGACAUGCUUGUUAGGAAUCCUGCAGGAAAGCCUGAAGAAUACCUUUCUCCAAGUGUGCCUGACCCACUCUCACCCCACAUGUCAUCACUACUCACCUGCCCUAAAGCUUUCAGCAUUGGAGCUCUGCCCUGAUAGAUUACUUACCUAAGGAAGCUCAUUUGAACUUUGCUCCCACAUUAAUCAUUCUUGAGAAAAAGAAAAAUAGCUCUGUUUCCUGUUUAGUAACCUACCUAAAGACACUUACCUGAAGACUGCUGCUGCCUGUGAACUUUAGGGAUUUGCCUAAAAACACUAAUCAAAGUUGUUAACUGGUUAACUUGUG